rnacentral:misc_RNA from 1 species
CUCUUCGCCCCCACGUCGAACC